rnacentral:rRNA from 1 species
UACGGAGGGUGCAAGCGUUAUCCGGAUUUACUGGGUUUAAAGGGUGUGUAGGCGGGCUAUUAAGUCAGUGGUGAAAUCUCCGGGCUCAACCUGGAAACUGCCAUUGAUACUAUUAGUCUUGAAUUCUGUUGAGGUUGGCGGAAUAAGUCAUGUAGCGGUGAAAUGCAUAGAUAUGACUUAGAACACCGAUUGCGAAGGCAGCUAGCUAAGCAGAUAUUGACGCUGAGGCACGAAAGCGUGGGGAU